CUGGCCCAGCGAGAGCGCCCAGGGGGUGGGCGUCUUGCCCCGGGCGUCGAGAGUUUGGGGCCGUCCCGUACGCGGCGCGCCGCAACCCAGUCCCCGCGACCACAGCAGCCUGCUCCCCACCGCGCUUGCAGAGCCCGGACGCGCGUGAGUCGGGGGCCCGCAGAGGCCUCACCCUUGGAGGUCGCCGCUUGUCAGGCCUGACUGCUGUUGGCGCCCACCCCGCCGCCCCCGAGGGGCCGCUCGAGGCCGGACUGCUGCUUUGCCGUGGCAGGCCCCACCCGGGACGUGGCGCUGCGGGCCGGGGCGGUCCAGCUGCAAUCCCUACUCCCUGCCAAAGGAGAACCCAGUUACUGAACAUCGGAUGAGACCAUGGAUAGUAAAUUGGGAGUGAAGGUCCAUACCUGGGUCUCAGAAGCACAGUACAGUUACACCAGCCUCCUGAGUAUGACAGCAACAUUCCUUCAGGGAUUAAAGAAAAUGCUUCAGAAGAUUGGAACACUGCUCAGCCUUCCCAACCUUCUUUUACCACUGAUGUUUCUACCUUAGUGAUCUU
rnacentral:lncRNA from 1 species